GAUUAAUGGUGAAGCCGCGAAUGGCUCAUUACAACAGCCAUAGUUUCUUAGAUCUUACUUUUCUACUUGGAUAACUGUGGUAAUUCUAGAGCUAAUACACGCAAACAAGCUCAGACCUUACGGAAUGAGCGCAUUUAUUAGAACAAAAACCAAUCGGAUCUCGGUCCGUCAUUUGGUGAAUCUGAAUAACUUUGCUGAUCGCACGGUCAUCGUACCGGCGACAUAUCUUUCAAAUGUCUGCCUUAUCAACUUUCGAUGGUAGUUUAUGCGCCUACCAUGGUUGUAACGGGUAACGGAGAAUAAGGGUUCGACUCCGGAGAGGGAGCCUGAGAAACGGCUACCACAUCCAAGGAAGGCAGCAGGCACGCAAAUUACCCACUCCCAGCACGGGGAGGUAGUGACGAAAAAUAACGAGACGGCUCGCUAUGCGGUCCGUCAUCGGAAUGGGUACAAUUUAAAUCCUUUAACGAGGAUCUAUU
rnacentral:rRNA from 1 species